AUCUUUUUCUCUUUCACUCACAGCCGUGGCUAAUUGACCUAACUGUAUCUCUAAACGGGCAAUAGCCUGGGUGUUGGAAGUUAAAAGCAGGCUCGUGGUCUACGUGAAGUUGUUUAGUGUAAUGUUGGUGUUAGCAGUCAAUUUUGCUAAGAUUUUUAGACUCUUUUCUAGCGAGUUAAGUCUUUGAUCAUUACUGAAAUCUGAUAGGUUAUUUGAUGAUUGAGUGAAUCUGGGGUU
rnacentral:lncRNA from 1 species